GCCGGGUGUGGUGGCUCACACCUGUAAUCCCAGCACUCUGGGAGGCCGAGGUGGGUGGAUCACCUGAGGUCAGGAGUUCAAGACCAGCCUGGCCAACAUGGUGAAACCCUGUCUCUA
rnacentral:SRP_RNA from 2 species